rnacentral:rRNA from 1 species
AGAGUUUGAUCCUGGCUCAGGAUGAACGCUGGCGGCGCGCCUAACACAUGCAAGUCGAACGGCACCCACCCCCGGGUGGAAGCGAGUGGCGAACGGCUGAGUAACACGUGGAGAACCCGCCCCCCUCCCGGGGAUAGCCUCCGGAAACGGAGGGUAACACCCGAUGACCCCGCAGCGAGGCAUCUCGCAGCGGGCAAAACUCCGGUGGAGGGGGAUGGCUCCGCGGCCCAUCAGGUAGACGGCGGGGUGACGGCCCACCGUGCCGACAACGGGUAGCCGGGUUGAGAGACCGACCGGCCAGAUUGGGACUGAGACACGGCCCAGACUCCUACGGGAGGCAGCAGUGGGGAAUCUUGCGCAAUGGGGGCAACCCUGACGCAGCGACGCCGCGUGCGGGACGGAGGCCUUCGGGUCGUAAACCGCUUUCAGCAGGGACGAGAUAAGACUGUACCUGCAGAAGAAGCCCCGGCUAACUACGUGCCAGCAGCCGCGGU